AUAUUAAUUUGUUUAUCUUUACUAACCAUUUUAUACUGGUCAGACUUGGUGCAUCUGGAGCUUAUCCCAGGAACACUGAAAUCACCAACGCCAUAAUGACCCAUUUUAUAAUCACUGACUUGCUUAGAAAUUUCUGUUUAUUCCUCUGCCAUUAGGUGGCAGUUUAGUAACAAAUAGGAUUAGACUUGUUGGCAGCAGAUGGUACUAUUGGUGCCGAGUUCUACUUGCUUAUGUUAAAAAAAACAAAAAACAUUUCUCUUGUAUUUCACAGCAAAUGACAUUAUCCUAACUAGCUAUCUAACUGCUCUUAGGUUUGGAAUUUGACAACGCAUUAUGGGAUUGUUCUGCUGUUUUGGGUAGAGUAAUUCUUUGUUUGCAUGCUUUACAUGGGUUCACACUCACUUUUUUAGUGGCGCAGUCCUGGAAAGGUGGAAGAAGCGAGUGGAAACAGGACACCCACACACACACACUUUGUACCCCUCUCCAGGACUGAGCCAAAAAGUGAGCGGUUGUUCCAUCCACAUUCAGACCUCUGUAGCAUAUCGCAAGUGGUCUGAUGCAUAUUCUCACACACAUGCUACUACAAACAUACUAACACACACACUUUCUCUUCUGUUCUGUUCCAUAGUCUGUUCUUUUGUUCUCUGUUGUCUUGUAUAAAUGCAGAUGCUGACAAGUUUGUGUUGUUAACAUGUUGUGAAAGUAAAGACAGUCAACUGUUGGGAAAAUGUUUGUUUGUUUUUUUGUGUGCGAGAUUUUGUGUUGAAAAUGACAGGUUCUGUGUUAUUGUACCCAUCACAGGAAUACUACAUGCUGCCCCAUCUUAAACCCAGGUUUUAUGUAUAUAAACAGAUCAGACAGAUGUUCAAGGAGAGGUGUGACUUCCAGUUUUCCAUGUAGUCUGAGAUUCAGGAUUUUCCUUUCAUUUUAAUCAGAUCCAAAGUAACUAGUAACUUGCAACUUGUGUAGUCUUCUCGUUGGAUAAUAAAUUACUCUUACUCAAAUGAUUAUUAAUAUUACUUUUACUGUUAUGUGAGUAAUUGUAUAACCUCUGGGUGUUACUAAUAAAGGCAGUGAGUGUAUAAGCAUAUGUUACUUGUAAGGGCACAGUACACUUUAUACACAGCAUUAUGCAGACUUGACCUUUUCCCACUAAUAAAACAAUAAAAUAAUAAAUGAUAUUGCCACUCACAUACUAAAUAUAAUCUGGAGUUGUUAUUUUAUUACUUUUUCCAAAUACAUUGUACCCUAAAAUCUUGACAGGGAAAAUCAACCUAGGAAUUUUAUGUAAAAAGUUGGAAAGCCUUUCCAAU
ensembl:lncRNA